rnacentral:rRNA from 1 species
UGCAGUCGAGCGGAACGAUGUAGCUUGCUACAGGCGUCGAGCGGCGGACGGGUGAGUAACGCGUAGGAACCUACCUAGUAGUUUGGGAUAGCCCAGAGAAAUUUGGAUUAAUACCGAAUACGCCCCACGGGGGAAAGCGGAGGAUCUUCGGACUUCGCGCUAUUAGAUGGGCCUGCGUAAGAUUAGCUUGUUGGUGAGGUAAUGGCUCACCAAGGCAACGAUCUUUAGCUGGUUUGAGAGGAUGAUCAGCCACACUGGGACUGAGACACGGCCCAGACUCCUACGGGAGGCAGCAGUGGGGAAUAUUGCACAAUGGGCGAAAGCCUGAUGUAGCCAUACCGCGUGUGUGAAGAAGGCUCUAGGGUUGUAAAGCACUUUCAGUAGGGAGGAAAGGUUGUAGAUUAAUACUCUGCAGCUGUGACGUUACCUACAGAAGAAGGACCGGCUAACUCCGUGCCAGCAGCCGCGGUAAUACGGAGGGUCCGAGCGUUAAUCGGAAUUACUGGGCGUAAAGCGUACGUA